rnacentral:rRNA from 1 species
GAUGAACGCUGGCGGCGUGCCUAAUACAUGCAAGUCGAGCGAACGGACGAGAAGCUUGCUUCUCUGAUGUUAGCGGCGGACGGGUGAGUAACACGUGGAUAACCUACCUAUAAGACUGGGAUAACUUCGGGAAACCGGAGCUAAUACCGGAUAAUAUUUUGAACCGCAUGGUUCAAAAGUGAAAGACGGUCUUGCUGUCACUUAUAGAUGGAUCCGCGCUGCAUUAGCUAGUUGGUAAGGUAACGGCUUACCAAGGCAACGAUGCAUAGCCGACCUGAGAGGGUGAUGGGCCACACUGGAACUGAUACACGGUCCAGACUCCUACGGGAGGCAGCAGUAGGGAAUCUUCCGCAAUGGGCGAAAGCCUGACGGAGCAACGCCGCGUGAGUGAUGAAGGUCUUCGGAUCGUAAAACUCUGUUAUUAGGGAAGAACAUAUGUGUAAGUAACUGUGCACAUCUUGACGGUACCUAAUCAGAAAGCCACGGCUAACUACGUG